AGCCACAGCCAUAUCCCCCUGCAGCCCAAGAACGGUUACUUACUGAAGCUAAGCAGGGCCAAGCCUGGUCAGUACCUGGAUGGGACACCCCAUGGGAAAACUAGGUUGCUGUUGGAA
ensembl:rRNA 5S_rRNA 5S ribosomal RNA